GUGGGAACGGAAUAAAAUUCUGAUAUACAUUUAUCCUGUUGUCUUUGAAUGCACCACAGUUACAAGGACACAUUGAUUGGUUGAGAUGCAUUAUAGGAUAUUUGUGAUGCAUGAUGGGAUACAUAGCAUGUAGCAUUCGGAUGUAAAGCGACUGCUAAAGAGUAUGUUAACAAUAGACAAGUCCUGAAUAUUAUUAUUCCUAUUCGACCCUAAACUACAAUAUCACAUACCGCAACUGGCUGUCCGUCUGCCGGCCAGCUUCCCGAAUGCCGGCGUGACAAGCAAAAGAGCUCCGCAGCGGCCCGGAGCUCGUAGCACAUAGCUCGAGCAAGCUAUGUCCGGAGAAUUACUUUGAGACACGGAAGUAGCGGCGGAAAGCGGCUUUUGGGGCAGGACAGAGACCGUACCAGGAUGUGAAUGAACCCAGACAUUGAGACAUGGUUACAGAUGCUUUUGUACAGCUUUUUAAAAUAAAUAAAUCUGAUCUCUAAACAUCA